UUGUGGAGGAGGACGCCGAAGGUGGGGCUAAUGACUGGGGUGAAGUCGUAACAAGGUAGCCGUACCGGAAGGUGCGGCUGGAUCACCUCCUAACAGGGAGACAACAAAAUGUUUAAUAUUAUUAUUUUGUCACCUUAGGUCGAUCGGUAUCUCACGUUUUUAAUUUAUUAAGAACUUCAUUUCCUAAGUUUUUCUAGGUCACACCCAUUAUUUUCCCUGGGCCAUUAGCUCAGGUGGUUAGAGCGCACCCCUGAUAAGGGUGAGGUCCCUGGUUCAAGUCCAGGAUGGCCCAUAUCUCUAUGUUGGGGGUAUAGCUCAGUUGGUAGAGUGCCUGCUUUGCAAGCAGGAUGUCAGCGGUUCGAGUCCGCUUACCUCCACUGAUUACCACCUCUGCCAUAUUUUGUAAUACAGGGAACAUUUUGAGAUGUGAUCAAAUUCUGAACGAAUCUAGCUUCCUAAUGAAAUCAUUAAGAUGCUGGACUCAUUGAAUAAUUUUCAUUGUUUUCAGAGAACCUUGACAACUGCAUAGAUUAUUUUUAAAGACAAUAAGCAUCUUUAAUGAUGCAGAUUUAUUAUUUGUGCGAAAGCAUUAAUAACAAUUCUAUUAAGCUGAUGCUUCAAUUUUGAAGUUAUUGGUCAAGCUACAA
rnacentral:misc_RNA from 1 species